AUGGCCGUUAGCCCCGUGGCCCCAUCUGUCUUCCCCCUGACUUCCUGCACCGGCGAAGGCACCACGUCCCAGGUCACCUUCGGCUGCCUGGCCAAAGGAUACUUCCCCGAGCCGGUCACCAUGACAUGGAGCCCAAACGUCGGCUCCUCGGUUGUGAAGACCUAUCCCUCCAUGCUGCAAUCUUCUGGCAACCUCUACUCCCUCAGCAGCCAAGUCACCGUCCCGGCCAGCAGCUGGGAGUCUGACACCUAUACAUGCACCGUACAGCACCAGCCCACCAGCUCCAGCAUCUCCACGGAAAUCCCAAAGCCCAUCCCCAAUGAUCCCAAGGUGAAAGUCCUCUACUCCUGCAACACCCAGCAAGACGCUGUUGAGCUGGUGUGCUUCAUCUCUGGCUUCUACCCCGACAAUUUUACGGUGGAAUGGCUGGUGGGCGGCAUGCCCGGGAUACUAAAGGGUGACACUGAGCCUUUCAAGAAGGACGCUGACGGCCGCACCUUCAGCACCCGCAGCAAUGCCAAAGUCUCCAAGAGCAAGUGGCUGGAGGGCGAGAAGUACACCUGCCUGGUGUCCCAGCCGGGCAGUGCCACCACAAAUCAGGCCCAGGCCAGCAAGUGCGAAGAAGAAAUGACGUCUCCCAGCAACAUCCAGGUCUUCCUGGUGCCCCCAUCUCCCGCCGCCCUGUACGUGGCCCAGACCCCCAUGCUCACCUGCCUCGUGGUCAACCUGCCUAGCAACUCCAGCCUCCAGGUGGUCUGGUCCCCUGAGAAGACAGAGUCCAUUAGCCCUGAUCACCCGGACCUCGCUAAGCAGUUGAACGGCACCUUCACCGCCUCCAGCUCCAUACCCAUCCUCACCAGCGACUGGGAAGCCGGAGAGACCUUCACCUGCAAAGUGGAGCACUCAGAGCUGUCCUCGCCCCUCAUCAAAUCCAUCUCCAAGAAGUCAGGUAGGAGGAGAGCAGGGUCCCUAAGGGGAGAGGCUCCCCUAUCCCAGUCCCCAGCAGGGAGGAAUGCUCCUUAA